AUGCAUGUAACGGCUGAAAAUGCAAGGACCAAAGUAACCAAUUCGAUAUGGAUUCCCCCAACAGAUUUCGAUGUGAAAAUUAAUGCUGAUGGUGGUGUCUCAAGAUGUGGCGGGAGAGGCGCUGCGGCAGUCGUCUGCCGAGAUAAGGCGGGAACUUUCUUGGGAGCUUCAGCUAGAGUUUUCGAAGGUCUUACGGACCCGCCCUCGCUAGAGGCGCAAGCAUGUAAUGAAGCUCUUGCCUUGGCCGAGGACCUCAACUUGAAUGUUGUAUGUGUGGCAUCAGAUUGUGCUGAAGUGAUCUUCAAGAUCGGGACUUGA
rnacentral:rRNA from 1 species